CAUCUAAGUGUGAAGCCCACCUCAAGAUGAGAUUUCCCAUUUCUUUAAGAAAGUAAGAUCCCUGAGAGAUGAUCAGGUAGAUAGGUCAGGAGUGGAAGUACAGUGAUGUAUGGAGCGGACUGAUACUAAUCGAUCGAGGACUUAACCAAU
rnacentral:rRNA from 1 species